GCUCCUGUGGCUUAGUGGUUAGAGCGUCCGCAUUGGAUGCGAGAGGUCGCGAGUUCGAUGCGAAAGACUUAUAAAAUAUUACUAACAGCUGCCUCGCUUGGCGCU